UUAAUAUAGAGCCCCAUCUCCUUUUGCUAGAGCAUACACAAUGAAUGGCUCAAACUGUAAUUAAAUAUUUUAUUAAUUUAUUUUUUGUUUUGAGGUGCGAACAUCUUUUGCGCACAUACAUUUCCGCUUCUGAUAAUUAAAUUUGGACAUGUGAAAUAAAAUUGCUCAUUCAUUUCAAACUUUUCCACACAAUAUGCAGGCCUUCGUGGCGCGAAGAGAAUUACGGUUUCAUUACCAAUUAUGCUUUGCAUGGCUGAGUAUUUAAGUAAUUAUGCUUUUCUUACUGCGCAUUUAAUGUAUUUGCUCUGCAAUUCUGUUGAGUGUCUUCAUUUGAAGAGGUUUCAUGUCAUGCAAUCGUUUAAUUUGGCCCAUCCCCACAAUGCUGUAAAUAAGUCGGGAAUAAAUUACGUUCUAUCAAAUACUAACAGUACAUAUCAAUGUGAACACCUAAAUAUACACGGAAUGUCGUAUAAACUAACCCUUUGUACAUACCUCUAUAUACAUAUGUACAUGCAAAUAUACACAACGAUAUGUCUAAGUAUGCAAAUUAAACUAAACAAAGAAUAAAAUAUAUAUAUAAAUAAUAACUAUUAUGAUCUACCCUAGCAGCAGCAACAGUAAAUCGAGAAAUAAUUGUACAUUGAACCGAACUUCAGUUGCGCCUUAAUAAACUAUGUAAAAACUAUUCAAUUUUUGUGAAUAUGUACGUAUAGAAAAUUAGAAAUGCGUAAAUUCUAUGAAUAUUAAGUGAGUGUUUCUGAGACACUCAGUAAUAAACACAAGCAGACAAACAAACACACACACACGCACACAGACAAACAUACACACUUAAAGUCUAAGCUUGACCAUUUGAGCAGAGCGUUAAGCUAACGCACACACACACACACAGACACACAUACACUCGUGCUCACACAGACACACGCGCACACACACAAACACAUAUGCAUCUGAUGAGUAUGAACGUGUCAAGUGUAGAGUGUAAAGUGCGCUGAAGAAAUGGUCACAAUCAUGAAAAAAUGUCUUCCUUAAUGCAUAUAGAUAACGAUAUGUGUUACAUAUACAUAUAUAAAUAUAUAUAUAUACAUAUUACAUAUAUAUAUAGUACAUGCUAACUUGAUAUACCUAAAUAUACUCGUAUACCUAUACUAUACUAUAUAUAUGUUAUAACGCUAUUGGUGCACCCUAGCCUACGCUUCAGUUAGUGAAUAUUAGUCAAAGAGAAAGAAAAAAAACAUGGAUAAUUCAUAUGAAUAUCGAUAACCGACUAUCGAUUGUCGAUUAUAGCUUACAAGUUAUACCACUGUUGACACUAUUAUAGAACAAAUUAAAAAUACCAAAAAGCAGCAAUUAAAUGCAUAGUACAUUACAAUACAUAUGAGAGAAUUAUACAUACAAUAUAUCCUAAAUAAAUAUACAUAUAUAUAAUUAAACAAAUAUAUAUAUAUUUAUCGGGAAAUUGCAAUGCACUUGAAUAGUUCCCUAGGCCACCCAAUUGCGAAUUGCAAGCGACCUUUAAUGAAGAAAACCUGCUUAUAGAACAGCUUGUAGCUAAUUAAUAUUAGACGAAUUUAAAGAUAAUUAUCAAUCCCGAUACCCAAAGCCGUUGUCAGACAGUUUUCGCAUAAGUAUCGUAAGUACCUAUCGGCAAUCUCUGUGGCAGUCGCUGCCCACUGCGAGCAUUGCAUUCAGCACUCCCAGUUAGACAACCAAUCUGCAUUGCAGCCUCCGAUAUCUGCAUAUAUGUAAAUCUAACCGCUUUAACGAUUCGAAUAUUGUUUAUGUCCCUUUUACUUUGUCAUUGUGCUCUCGGGGCAGCACAGCACGAGGCGCAGCUACAAUGUAAAGUACCGUUAAACGAAAAUGAAUAUAAAAAGAGUCUAGCAAACCGCAGCUAGAUCAAUACUGUUAAGGAGGAAGCUACCUAGUCGAACGUAGCAGAAACCUAUGUUAAAUAAUGGAAAAGAGAAAAACAAUAAAACAAAAUAAAAUUGAAAUGGAAAUGGAAAUAGAGAAUAAAAUAAAUGGAAAAGUACAUAAAAUAUGCAUGAGGAAUAUCAAAUAAGUUGAGGAAUUCAAGUUAAGCCUAGCGACAGCAAACUAAACGGAACACAAUAUAGAAUAUAGAUAAAUAUGCUAUGGUAUGUAGUACUUAAGUAACGGAUAGAUGUAUUACUAUGUCAACGGGCUAUGUGAGCGGCAUCACACAAGGCUAU